rnacentral:tRNA from 1 species
ACCUGGCUGGCUCAGUUGGUAAAGUAUGUGACUCUUGAUCUCAGGGUUGUGAGUUCGAGCCCCACACUGGGCA